GGAAGGUGGGGAUGACGUCAAGUCCUCAUGGCCCUUACAAGUGGGCUACACACGUGCUACAAUGGCGACUACAGAGGGCUGCAAUCCCGCAGGGGGAGCCAAUCCCUAAAAGUCGUCUCAGUUCGGAUUGCACUCUGCAACUCGAGUGCAUGAAGUUGGAAUCGCUAGUAAUCGCGGAUCAGCAUGCCGCGGUGAAUACGUUCCCGGGCCUU
rnacentral:rRNA from 1 species